AUGGACACUUCUGGGCACUUCCAUGACUCCGGGGUGGGGGACCUGGACGAAGACCCCAAGUGCCCCUGUCCGUCCUCUGGGGAUGAGCAGCAGCCGACGCCGCAAGCGCAGCAGGCGCCCCCGCCGCCGGCGCCCCCAGCUGCCCCCCAGCAGCCCCCGGGACCCCCGCUGCAGCCUCAGCCUCCGCAGCCAGCGCCGCCGCCGCAUCCCCUGCCUCAGCUCGCCCCGCUCCAGAGCCAGCUGGUCCACCCCGGCCUGCUGCACUCCUCGCCCACCGCGUUCAGGGGCCCCCCUUCGGCCAACUCCACCGCCGCCCUCCACCCCUCCUCCAGGCAAGGCAGCCAGCUCAACCUCAAUGACCACUUGCUGGGCCACUCUCCAAGCUCCACAGCCACAAGUGGGCCCGGUGGAGGCAGCCGGCACCGGCAGGCCAGCCCCCUGGUGCACCGGCGGGACAGCAACCCCUUCACCGAGAUCGCCAUGAGUUCCUGCAAGUACAGCGGUGGGGUCAUGAAGCCCCUCAGCCGCCUCAGCGCCUCCCGCAGGAACCUCAUCGAGGCCGAGCCCGAGGGCCAGCCCCUGCAGCUCUUCAGUCCCAGCAACCCCCCGGAGAUCGUCAUCUCCUCCCGGGAGGACAACCAUGCCCACCAGACCCUGCUCCAUCACCCCAAUGCCACCCACAACCACCGGCACGCCGGCACCACUGCCAGCAGCACCACCUUCCCCAAAGCCAACAAGCGGAAGAACCAAAACAUUGGCUAUAAGCUAGGACACAGGAGGGCCCUGUUUGAAAAGAGAAAGCGACUCAGUGACUAUGCUCUGAUUUUUGGGAUGUUUGGAAUUGUUGUUAUGGUGAUAGAAACCGAGCUGUCUUGGGGUUUGUACUCAAAGGACUCCAUGUUUUCGCUGGCCCUGAAAUGCCUCAUCAGCCUCUCCACCAUCAUCCUGCUGGGACUGAUCAUCGCCUAUCACACGCGGGAGGUCCAGCUCUUCGUGAUCGACAAUGGCGCGGACGACUGGCGGAUAGCCAUGACCUACGAGCGCAUCCUCUACAUCAGCCUGGAGAUGCUGGUGUGCGCCAUCCACCCCAUCCCGGGCGAGUACAAGUUCUUCUGGACGGCGCGCCUGGCCUUCUCGUACGCGCCGUCGCGCACGGAGGCGGACGUGGACAUCAUCCUGUCCAUCCCCAUGUUCCUGCGCCUGUACCUGAUCGCGCGCGUCAUGCUGCUGCACAGCAAGCUCUUCACCGACGCCUCCUCGCGCAGCAUCGGGGCGCUCAACAAGAUCACCUUCAACACGCGCUUCGUCAUGAAGACGCUCAUGACCAUCUGCCCCGGCACCGUGCUGCUGGUCUUCAGCAUCUCGCUGUGGAUCAUCGCCGCCUGGACUGUGCGCGUGUGUGAAAGGUACCACGACCAGCAGGACGUAACCAGUAACUUUCUGGGUGCCAUGUGGCUCAUCUCCAUCACAUUCCUUUCCAUCGGUUACGGGGAUAUGGUGCCCCACACAUACUGUGGGAAAGGUGUCUGCCUUCUCACUGGCAUCAUGGGUGCAGGCUGCACUGCCCUUGUGGUGGCUGUGGUGGCCCGGAAGCUGGAACUCACCAAAGCGGAGAAGCAUGUUCACAACUUCAUGAUGGACACGCAGCUCACCAAACGGAUCAAGAACGCUGCAGCCAAUGUCCUCCGGGAAACGUGGCUCAUCUACAAACACACAAAGCUGCUGAAGAAGAUGGACCACGCCAAAGUCAGGAAGCACCAGCGGAAGUUCCUGCAGGCUAUCCACCAGCUGAGGAGUGUGAAGAUGGAGCAGAGGAAGCUGAGCGACCAGGCCAACACUCUGGUGGAUCUUUCCAAGAUGCAGAACGUCGUGUAUGACUUAAUCACGGAACUCAACGAUCGCAGCGAGGACCUGGAGAAGCAGAUCGGCAGCCUGGAGGCCAAGCUGGAGCACCUCUCUGCCAGCUUCAACUCCCUGCCCCUGCUCCUCGCGGACACGCUUCGCCAGCAGCAGCAGCAGCUCCUGACCGCCCUCCUGGAGGCCCGCGCCGUGAGCGUGGCGGUGGGGACCACCCCCGCCCCGCUGUCCGACAGCCCGAUCGGGGUCAGCUCCACCUCCUUCCCGACCCCGUACACAAGUUCAAGCAGUUGCUAAAUAAAACUCCCCGUCCAGAAGCGUUACCCAGAGGUCUUAAGAUGCAAAUCAACUCUCCAGGUCGCUUUGCCAUCCUGGGACUCCCAGACCAGGGACUGGAGAGAGGCGAGACCCGGCGGAUUAGCUAACUCACGUUCCUUCGGCGUGCUUGGCUGGAGAUGCCUUGAAGCCAGAAAUCUAAUCUCUGUUUAGGUGCCUCUACUUGGAAGCAGGAAGAGGACAGGACAGGAAGCGUCGCCUCUGGCAGGGCCCUUGCCGCAGUUGGUGGAGAAAAGAAAUCCACACUCAAUCUCAGGUGCCAAGUGCCCGGUGACAGUUGUUUACACACCUGAGACACAUAUUCUGGAAGCUGUGAUCCUGGGCCUGGACAUACGGAAGAGUUAUGGUGACCAACCAACCUGGUGACGAAAAAGCACAAACUUCAACACCAACCAAUAGUUAGGACCCCAGAGAGAUGCUGACAUUUCUGGUAAAAAAAAAAAGUGAGAAAUCAAAUAUGAAUCUGAUGGACAAGCCAACACCCAGCUUCCCACAAGACAGACAGUAAAUCAACGAUGUUCCGGAGCUGCGUCAAUCUGAAUCCCAAUCAGGACAGAUCCGCCUUCUUCAGAACAUAGCUUUUGGUGGAAAAACACCUCAGUUUUUGUCCUAGGCUCUCCAUUCUAUGCUGGCCACAAGAGAACAAGGAAGUGGCAGGAUAUUCAUGGAGGAAACAUUUCCACGGCACUCAGAGAUCGAAGUGUUUAUAUCCCAGACUGGACGAGCUUCAGUAUGAAUUUGCAUCUUGCCUCUGUACUGCUUGCUAUUUUUUAAUGAUAGGAGAAAGCAUAACAGUUUAUUUUAAAUAUGAAAUAUAUUGCUAUAUUAUAAAAUAUAUUGUAACUUUCAAUUAA